rnacentral:lncRNA from 1 species
CCCUUCUUCCAAAGCUCCCUAUUAUCCUUGAGGGCGCCAUCAUCCUCCUUCACUCAGGCUUACAACCUAGGUGUUAUCUUUGACUCUUCAUUCUCACUCACCCCACAGAUCCAAUCUAUUGCCAUACCUGCUCACUUCUACCUUCAUAAGGUCUCCUGUCAAUGUUCCCUUCUCUCCUCUGAUAUAAGUGCCUCAACACCUCAUGCCUGAACUAUUACAAUUGACUGCUAGUUAUACCCUCUGGCACAGGUCUCUUCCUACUCCACUCUUGCUCCUUCUCAAACGCCCAAAUUAUCUUGUUAAAGCACGGUUCUGACCACAUUAUUUCCCUACUCAAUAAGUUCCUGUAUUUUCUGAAUACCUCCAGGGUCAAAUAUAAAAAUCUGGUUUGUUUUCAAAGUACUUCAUAACCUGGCCCCUUUCUGCAUAGGACUUACUUUUUUUUUUUUGGUGAGGCAACUGGGGUUAAGUGACUUGCCCAGGGUCACACAGCUAGUGAGUGUUAUGUGUGAAGGACUUACCUUCUACAGAUGGGUUACAACGUGCUUGUAGAAUCCAUAGAUCAUAGAUUUAAAUCUGUGAAUGAAUAAGCAGGCAUUGAACAAUAAUGAUGUGUGCUAGGCAUUAGGGAAAGUACAAAGCAUAAGAGAGUCCCUGGGCCCAAGAAGCUUAUAAUCUAGGAAAAGAGAAGAAUGUAUAAAACAACAACAUUGUCAUUGAAUUCAGAUAGGCAUAAUUCUAGAAUACAGAAAGCAAUAGCAUUCUGAUAGCACUCAGACAACCGUGCUCCCAUUGUAUUUUGUCCAGAUCAAAACACGAAGGACUUAAUGUAGGUCAUCUAUAGGCUGGCCCUGUGGUGCUGAAGAGAUGGGGAUCCAGCUACUGCUGAAACUUGAAAGGAGGUGAAUGUGUUGGCAUUCAAGUUCUACUUGGGAGAUAUUAUCUUUCUAUUCUGCCACUCCACCUUCUUUUCACAGCAAACUGAAGAUGGAAGGGGCGGUGGGCAGCAAAUGGGUUGUGAUUGCCUCUGAAACAGUUUGUUAACAGGUUUACUGUGGGGGUGCUCCUGGUUUGCAGAGGUUGUCUUGUGGCCAGCUGAAAUGCAUGGCAGGGCAAAGCUAGCAAUGUGCUCACCAUCCGUCACCAAGCUGGGGGCCAAUAGAGACCACACUCACUUUCCAUUCUCUGCUAGUUUCUAUAAAUUGCACACAGAUGCACAUGACUGGCCUCCUUAAGGGACUUGGGAUUCUGAAUACAGAAAUGGAACUUGAGGCCCAUUAUGCUGAAGCUUAUGCAGGAAUAAUGAGGGGAAAGAUACUGUAAUGGGAGUUUCUGCGUCUAAUAAAGGGAAAUUUAUUCAGAGAGUUCCA